CUAAGAAUACCCUGCAAUGUGAGGUAUCAUUUCUAUUUUUCAGAUAAGGAAACUAAAAUCUAAAAAGACUAAAUUUCAAACUCAAGGUCAUAUAGCAAAUAGCAUAGUUAAGAGUCAAAUCUAAGUCUGGAUCCAAAAUCUCUUUCUUCUUUUCCAAAAUAAUUUUUCUCCAGCUCAUCAAAUACUCUACUUACUAGAAGGUCACAACCUAUGUCAUAUAGUUGGUUCUAAUUUGGAAAGAAUUAUAAUUUACCAGACACAAUCAAUUCCUUCUCCAGUGAUGCAGAAGGCCCCACAGAAGCUUUCAAUGUGGUUGCUGGAUGACUCUGAGCAUAAUUAUUAUAGGAAAGAAGUGCAAAAAUAGUUCAGGUUAAGAUACGUUUGUCAGCUUGCUCCUUUCCGCCCGUGGAUGCCACCGAUGCAGCAUCGUUAAAGUCUCUCUUCUCCCUGCCAUCAUAUCUAAGUCAGAGUCUCCUAAAGAGCCGGAACAGCGGAGGAAGCUCUUCAUUGGAGGGUUGAGCUUUGAAACAACUGAUGAGAGCCUGAGGAGCCAUUUUGAGCAAUGGAGAACGCUCAUGGACUGUGUGGUAAUGAGAGAUCCAAACACCAAGCGCUCCAGGGGCUUUGGGUUUGUCACAUAUGCCACUGUGCAGGAGGUGGAUGCAGUCAUGAAUGCCAGGCCACACAAGGUGGAUGGAAGAGUUGUGGAAACAAAGAGAGCUGUCUCAGGAGAAGAUUCUCAAAGACCAGGUGGCCAUUUAACUGUGAAAAAGGUAUUUGUUGGUGGCAUUAAAGAAGACACUGAAGAACAUCACCUAAUAGAUUAUUUUGAACAGUUUGGAAAAAUGGAAGUGAUUGAAAUCAUGACUGACCGAGGCAGUGCCAAGAAAAGGGGCUUUGCCUUUGUAACCUUUGACAACCAUGACUCCAUGGAUAAGAUUGUCAUUCAGAAAUACCAUACUGUGAAUGGCCACAACUGUGAAGUUAGGAAAGCUCUGUCAAACCAAGAGAUGGCUAGUGCUUCCUCCAGCCAAAGAGGCCAAAGAAGUUCUGGAAACUUUGGUGGUGGUCAUGGAGGUGGUUUUGGUGGGAAUGACAAUUCUGGUCAUGGAGGAAACUUUAGUGGUCAUGGUGGCUUUGGUGGCAGCCAUGGUGGUGGUGGAUAUGGUGGAAAUGGGGAUGGUUAUAAUGGGUUUGGUAAUGAUGGUGGUUAUGGGGGAGGCAGCGCUGGUUACUCUGGAGGAAGCAGAGGCUAUGGAUGUGGUGGACAGGGUUAUGGAAACCAGGGCAGUGGCUAUGGCGGGAGUGGCAGCUAUGACAGCUUUAACAACGGAGGCAGAGGUGGUUUUGGCGGUGGUAGUGGAAGCAAUUUUGGAGGUGGCAGAAGCUACAGUGAUUUGGGUAAUUACAAUAGUCAGUUUUCAAAUUUUGGACCCAUGAAGGGAGGAAAUUUUGGAGGCAGAAGCUCUGGCCCCUAUGGCGGUGGAGGCCAAUACUUUGCCAAACCACAAAACCAAGGUGGCUAUGGCGGUUCCAGUAGCAGCAGUAGCUAUGGCAGUGGCAGAAGAUUUUAAUUAGGAAACAAAGCUUAGCAGGAGAGGAGAG